UAACAAAUUGCGGGGACAAUAAAUUUGGUUGAUACAAAACUUUGAUGCAAAACCUUUUGGUUUCCAAAACUUUGCAAAUUUUAAAACACAGGAGUCAAAUUUAAAAAAAAGUUUUUCAACGAUACGUUUUAGCAGCUGUGGAUCAUAAUAGAAAAUAUUAUGUCAAAAUUUGAAUUAUUUAUGCUUUACCUAGACUUAAUGGGAAAUUAACUAAGUUGACGAAUAAUUCAGUCACUAUGCGGUUCCCAAGCCGGUUGCAUUUGCAGUUUUGAGUUCGAUCCAGGGCAAGGUUACCAAAAUUACCUCAUUUUCCCGCCUCCAUAAAACCCAUUUUAUUGAUUCAAGAAAAGGGAAGUAGUAGGGCUGCUUCUCUUUUCAUUGUGAUCAAUAACUUUGUUGUAAAGUAGCACUUACUUCAAAGUAACAACUUACAGUCACAGUAUCACUUCCUAGCAUCAUUGUUAAACCGUAACUACGCUGAGUAGGACUACAGGUAUGUCAUCUAUUUCAAAUUUACUUUAUAUUCACAAUAUUCGUAUUUAAUUUGACAGUUAAUAUCAGCAUACAGUUGCAUUAGAAAUCCUCAACAUUGGUGAAUGGGCCGAUUAUUGCUGUUGUUAAUCCAAGCAAAGAUACGGUAUGUUUUGUAUUAUGAGAUAUUAACCUACAGGUGUAUACUGUAUCAAGAUAGGACGCUCUGCGAUCUAGAACACCCCACACAAGCUAGAAAAGAAAUGUAUAUUUCUAAAGAGAUGAAAGGAAGAUCUAGUACCUACCGACCUCAGAUCUGCACUGAUCAGUUUUAGCACGUGACACGCUCUCCUUCUCAGCACGUGACACGCUCUCCUUCUCAGCACGUGACACGCUCUCCUUCUCAGCACGUGACACGCUCUCCUUUUCAGCACGUGACACGCUCUC